rnacentral:rRNA from 1 species
GUUAAUAGCCAUAUCACUUUGCAGCCCAAGACCGGUUACUCACUGAAGCUAAGCAGGGCUGAGCCUAGUUAGUACCUGGAUGGGAGACCACUAGGGAACACUAGGUUGCUGUUGGAA